UGUCUGUACCCGAAGUCGCCUAUCCUAACCGCAAGGAGGGGGGUGCCUAAGGUGUUGAUGAUGACUGGAGUGAAGUCGUAACAAGGUAGCUGUAGGUGAACCUGCAGAAGGAUCA
rnacentral:rRNA from 1 species